rnacentral:rRNA from 1 species
AACGAACGCUGGCGGCACGCCUAACACAUGCAAGUCGAGCGCUACCUUCGGGUGGAGCGGCGGACGGGUUAGUAACGCGUGGGAACAUACCCUUCUCUAAGGAAUAGCCACUGGAAACGGUGAGUAAUACCUUAUAAGCCCCUCGGGGGAAAGAUUUAUCGGUGAAGGAUUGGCCCGCGUAAGAUUAGAUAGUUGGUGGGGUAACGGCCUACCAAGUCGACGAUCUUUAGCUGGUUUGAGAGGAUGGUCAGCAACACUGGGACUGAGGCACGGCCCAG